rnacentral:rRNA from 1 species
UACGUAGGUGGCAAGCGUUGUCCGGAUUUACUGGGCGUAAAGAGCGCGCAGGCGGUCGUUCAAGUCGCGUGUGAAAGCCCCCGGCUCAACUGGGGAGGGUCACGCGAUACUGAUCGACUCGAAGGCAGGAGAGGGAAGUGGAAUUCCCGGUGUAGUGGUGAAAUGCGUAGAUAUCGGGAGGAACACCAGUGGCGAAGGCGACUCGCUGGACAGGUAUUGACGCUGAGGUGCGAAAGCGUGGGGAGCAAACAGG